rnacentral:rRNA from 1 species
UACCUACGGGAGGCAGCAGUAGGGAAUCUUCCACAAUGGGCGAAAGCCUGAUGGAGCAACGCCGCGUGGGUGAAGAAGGUCUUCGGAUCGUAAAACCCUGUUGUUAGAGAAGAAAGUGCGUGAGAGUAACUGUUCACGUUUCGGCGGUAUCUAACCAGAAAGCCACGGCUAACUACGUGCCAGCAGCCGCGGUAAUACGUAGGUGGCAAGCGUUAUCCGGAUUUAUUGGGCGUAAAGGGAACGCAGGCGGUCUUUUAAAUCUGAUGUGAAAGCCUUCGGCUUAAACGGAGUAGUGAAUUGGAAAA